GGAUGUUAGGGCAAUCUGGCUGCGACAUCAGUUACCCCAUUGAUUGCCAACAUUGACUUGGCUGAUCUGGCUGGCUAGGUGUCCCUUUCCUCUCUCACCACUCUAUGUGUGUCCCUCCUGAAGCUGUGUGCUUGGUUGAAGAUGAGGGCCUUCCCCAAAUAGAGACAGACCGGUCUUCAGUCUAGGGUAUAUGAAUAACUGUGGUCCCCUGCUAGAGGCUCCAAACAAGAAUAAUGAUAGUUUGAUUCUUCCUUUCCAACAUGUACACCUUUGAUAUCUCUU
ensembl:misc_RNA 7SK 7SK RNA